UGACCCUUUAAGGGGCCUGAAGGAACGUUGAAGACGACGACGUUGAUAGGCCGGGUGUGUAAGCGCAGCGAUGCGUUGAGCUAACCGGUACUAAUGAACCGUGAGGCUUAACCUUACAACGCCGAAG
rnacentral:rRNA from 1 species